AGACCUCCAAAAUAUGGCUCUGGCGUCAGCUGUGAUACUGGGAGGAGAGGCAGGCCCCAGGGUGGGGCAGUCCAGGUAGCCUGAAAGAGAAGCAAGUUCCUGGCACACAGCUGAAGAAACACUCCUGGGGAUUCACCUGGUAGCAAAACCUCCCCCUUGGCUUCCUCCUGUUGUUCACACAGCAGACCCAAAGUUCCAGGGGAUCCAAGGCAUUGAGAGAGAGAGAGAGAGAGAGAGAGAGAGAAGCUAAGGACCCCUUGAUGCUCAGCAAUACAUGGCUCUGCUCUCAAGUCACUAGAACCCUGGAAACUACAGGCUGUCUUCCACCAGACAGCACACAGCCCCAGUGAACAGAGGACCUUUUUCUUUACCGCAAAUGCUGGACAUGCACCUCACCAUAGCCUUUGGUAGAGAUCCUUUCUUUGAACCAUUUUGCCUGGUUUUAGGGUCUUCACUGCAGGGUGGAAUUUUGGGGUCCCUAAGGCCCCUGCGCCACACUACAAGAACUGAUCUGGGGUUUAAGUCCUAGUACACUUUUCUCCCACAUACUAAACAUAACUCUCCUGCCCCAGGAUUGUGGGCAGGGCAUUGCUGUCCACCCUGGAGGGUUGUAAGGGCAGUAGACAGAGCAAGGGUCUCACCAGUCAACCGUCUUGUGGAGUGUUUGGAA
rnacentral:lncRNA from 1 species